AGUAAUACAUCGGAACGUGUCUUCUAGUGGGGGAUAACUGCCCGAAAGGGCAGCUAAUACCGCAUGAGACCUGAGGGUGAAAGCGGGGGAUCGCAAGACCUCGCGCUGGAAGAGCGGCCGAUGUCCGAUUAGCUAGUUGGUGAGGUAAAGGCUCACCAAGGCGACGAUCGGUAGCUGGUCUGAGAGGACGACCAGCCACACUGGGACUGAGACACGGCCUAG
rnacentral:rRNA from 1 species